UACGGGGGGUGCGAGCGUUGUCCGGAAUCACUGGGCGUAAAGGGCGCGUAGGUGGCGUCGUAAGUCUGUGGUGAAAGCCCGGAGCUCAACUCCGGGUCUGCCGCGGAUACUGCGAGGCUUGAGUGCUGUAGAGGGGGGUAGAAUGCCGGGUGUAGCGGUGAAAUGCGUAGAGAUUGGGUGGAACACCGGUGGCGAAGGCGGCUAUCUGGCUCACAACUGACGAUCAGGCACGAAAGCGUGGGGAGCAAACAGG
rnacentral:rRNA from 1 species